GACGAACGCUGGCGGCGUGCCUAACACAUGCAAGUCGAGCGGGGUUGAAGCGAGAGGUAACUCGAGUUUCUACCUAGCGGCGGACGGGUGAGUAACGCGUGGGCAACCUGCCUCAAGGUCUGGGAUAACAGCCCGAAAGGGCUGCUAAUACCGGGUAUGCUUGUGGCCUCGCAUGGGGCUACGAGCAAAGGGGAAACCCGCCUUGAGAUGGGCCCGCGUCCCAUCAGCUAGUUGGUGAGGUAACAGCUCACCAAGGCGACGACGGGUAGCCGGCCUGAGAGGGUGACCGGCCACACUGGGACUGAGACACGGCCCAGACUCCUACGGGGGGCAGCAGUGGGGGAUCUUGCACAAUGGGCGAAAGCCUGAUGCAGCGACGCCGCGUGAGCGAAGAAGGCCUUCGGUUGUAAAGCUCUGUCUGGAGGGACGAAGGAAGUGACGGUACCUCCGGAGGAAGCCACGGCUAACUACGUG
rnacentral:rRNA from 1 species